AUACGGAGGACGCGAGCGUUAUCCGGAUUCAUUGGGUUUAAAGGGUGCGCAGGCGGCCGUGCAAGUCAGCGGUGAAAGCCCGGGGCUCAACCCCGGAAGUGCCGUUGAUACUGCAUGGCUGGAAUGCGGUCGAGGCGGGCGGAACGUGGCGUGUCGCGGGGAAAUGCGUAGAUAUGCCACAGAACGCCGAUAGCGGGGGCAGCUCGCCAGGCCUGCAUUGACGCUCGGGCACGAAAGCGGGGGGAUCGAACAGGAUUAGAUACCCUGGUAGUCCACGCCGUAAACGAUGGGCGCUCGUCGUCGGCGGCAGACAGUCGGCGGCCAAGCGAAAGCGAUAAGCGCCCCACCUGGGGAGUACGGUCGCAAGGCUGAAACUCAAAUGAAUUGACGGGG
rnacentral:rRNA from 1 species